CCGCCGCCUCCGCCCUGACGGCAGCGGGGGCGGGGGGCGCACAGAACUUUUCCCCGCGUGACCCCCUUGCUGCGGGAAGCAGGGGUCGGGGUACCCCAGCGCCACAAACGUGGGUCCUACGAUGUCCUAAGUUCCCCAGAAUCUUGGCGUCAAAGGCAGCCCAACCUCCCCCACACACUCCCGGCACUACAAGCACCGUGACGUCAGUGCUCCUUCUACAGCGGCAUCCCUUGCACGCUGUCUCAUGACGUCACGCACGGACACGCUUCCCGGCCCCGCCCACGGAGGCGCCCAGGGAACAGUUCAUCCGCGGGACCAGGAUCCGCAGACCCGCGGACGGGUGCCCCAAGUGAACGGCGCUGCCGGGCAGGCGGUUUAGCGCGGUCUCCCCGCCCGGCCAGCGCGGUUUCCGGGCACCGGCGGCCGCGGCCCAGGCGCCCCGCCCUCUCCACGCGCCUCCCGGCUCACGGCGCAUGCUCGGCGCGCAGGCGCAGAAGGACUCACCGGCCCGGGCGGCAGGUGCCGCUGCCUGAGGGCUCGCAGAAGUGCUUAGUUAGCUUUGCUCUCUGGGACGCUGGCUUGGCGAGCGCGCCUGUCGGCUGGCGUCUGUGAACGCUAGAGAUGCAGAUGAAGGCAGAGUGGACAGUGUGAGAGAGAGUGACAGAGAAGAAGGUCUUCCUUUUCCAUUGGUUCACCCCGCGAUAGCUGCUGCUGUGGCCAGUGCACUGCGCUGAUCUGAAGCCAGGAGCCGUGUACUUCUCCCGGUCUCCCAUGCGGGUGCAGGGCCCAAGCACUUGGGCCAUCCUCCACUGCACUCCUGGGCCACAGCAGAGAGCUGGACUGGAAGAGGAGCAACCGGGACAGAAUCCGGCACCCCGACCGGGACUAGAACCCGGUCUGAGUGGACUUCAGUUGAUCACCUGGGUAAAAGGAAUUUGGAAGCAGUAAGCCUCUGUCUCCAAACAAAUUUUAUUACUGAACAUCACUGGGUCACUUCCAGCUGGCUGAGAAAAUUGAGGCUGAAAGUGGUUAAAAUGCUUGUCUGGGUUCCCAGAACUAGCAGGAACAGAGCAGGAUGUCAACCCUUCCAUUCUGAUUCCAGAAACCAAGGCAGGAGGACAAUGAUCUGGAACUUGCAGCCUCGAGGAUUGUGAGAAUCUGGAUUUCUGUUAUUGAAGCCACCCAACCUGUGUUAUUUUGUUUUCUGGAUGAGUCUUCUCUUCGGAAUAAGGAAAAAGAUGCAACGCAGACAGAUGACUCUAUUUGAUGUGAUGGAUCAAGUCAAGCUGGACGAUGGUGGAUACUUUCCACUGGAAUUAACCACACUGCCUUCCCAAUCUUUCCAUCUUCCUCACCACCAAAUCAGUGUUGAAGAAGAACAUUGUAACUUCAGAAUAUCGGAAACAUUUGUAGCUUUAUCAAGAGUCUCAGGUUGGUUAGUCUCUUGGUGCUAAUGAGUCAUGGGUUUCCUGGACACCAAGAACUCUGACUGAACCCCUGGCUGCUUCCAACUGGGUAGGAGAUUGAAGGAUUUGGGGAUUCCUUAUGAAAUGUUGAAAUGAGGUAGAGUUUACGUAUAAUGAAGGCAUAGAACCAGGCACACCACAAAACUCCCUUCAUAGCCUUUCCUCGAAUAGUUUUUCCCAAAUUCCUUGUCUCCCAGAGCCCAUUUGGCUUUGCAUUUUCUGGGCCAAUGUGAGAAAUGUCACCAUUAUUUCCCAAGAGGAACUGAGCAAGAUAGAUGGUCUCUGCCCCAGCAGGACACCUGGAUGGCAUCCUUAUCUAGGGCCACAAUGGGAGUGCAUGUGCCUGCAUGUUUAUUUAUUCUCCUCCUGUUUGGAGACUUUCCCUGAUUAAUUACUUUCUUGUAAUUGAGGCUGCUAACUAAUGUCUCAUCUGAUUAACCUGUAGUUUGGCUCUAGGUCCCAGAGGGUGGACAGGCCAUCCCGUCUGGGGAACGAAGGAGGUCAGUGAUCAGGGGCCCUUGGGAUGCCCAUUUUGGGCCGGUUUAUUUGCUUUAAGUCUUGUUUGCUGUUCCUGCUGCAGUGAGUGGAGACAGCUCCCCCCUAGUCCCAUCCAAUCUAAUUGGCCUGCUGAAACAUCAGUGAACAUAAGAUUUAAGAAAUGUUUUCUUUGAAAACUUCUGGUCCGACAGACACUUUGAGCUCAUAUUUCACCCUGUUUCUAAUGCACACCCUUCCCUGGGACUUUCAGGAGAAAUAUAGUGAGUGAGUCUUACAGGAGAACUGCUUCUCUGUGGUUUGGGGGGUGGCAGUGGGGGCUGAUGCACUGGAGGUAGGAGGGAAGGCUGUGUGGAGGCAGGCCGGCAUCUUCAGAAUCUAGAUACCAUGCCAACGUUAACACAUCCAAGGAGGUAUUCAGUAUCAAAGUCUCUAAUAUUUGGCUCCACAAACACGAUACCGGUUGCAAAAACAAAGCUAAGGAGCUCAUGCUGAUUAUUUCAAUAAAAGCUGUUUAAUUAUGAACGCUUGGGAAAUGAAGUUACCAACAGGACCAGGAGAACUCUGACGGCCUGGCGUUCCUGCCCCCAGCAUCCUGCUGUUAAGCCAGAUUGUCCACUCAGCUGAAAAGUUUGACAUUGAGCAGGGCACGCCCUCAGCCCCACAGGAGACCACUCACUUGCCAACCAUGUUCCCUCCUACUGCAGUGGCAGUUCUUGAGAACUGUUUAGUGAUAGAACCAUAAAGUGUUAUCAGUCCCACUCACAGGCCAUCCAAGGGUUACAUGGCAUGGUGGCCAGAGCUCCCCAAACACCGCACUUGGGAAGUCAAUUACUGUUUCUAGGUAGCUAUUUGACCUUCUCCUACCAGAAGUCAGGGUUCCAGGACCAAGAAAAGUGGAACUGAAUUCUGAGCUGGCAGUCAGUGGAUCUGAUUAUGGAAACAGUAGAUUUUUUUUUUUUUUUUUUUUUUUUGCUGAGCCCUUGUGUGAGUCUUCUUGAGGAGCUAUGACCUUACUAAUGCUUCUAAAUCAUUGUCCUUUCUCUUGUGUGGUUAUAACCAGCUAUUUUACAUCAAAUAGAAUAGGUAGAACUAUAUGUGUAAAAGUUUAACAAUAAUCAGAGUUGAAGCUGUGUAUGUGAGUGAAGGAACAUAAAAACAUACACAUUGUCAAGGGGAGAGCUUUUUAGCAUAGCAGUUUUUCUGUUAGACUGAUGAUUUUUUUCUCUGAGACUCAAAAGUUUUUAUAUCUUAACUAUUUUUAGUGAAAAAAUCUUUAAAGCUUACCCUUAUUUAACAGUAGAUAUGAAAUACAAAUGAAUUGUUGUUGCUCAGCCCCGAUGAUUCCAAGCUAUAAUACAGCGAUACCUUCAGGAACUGCUGAAAGACCCCCAACCAUUGCACCCAUGCCCUGAGACACAAUGACAGUCAUUUGUAAAAUUUAUUAUUUGCGGCCAGCGCUGGGGCUCACUAGGCUAAUCUUCUGCCUGCGGCACUGGCACCCGGGUUCUAGUCCCGGUUGGGACACCGGUUCUGUCCCGGUUGCUCCUCUUACAGUCCAGCUCUCUGCUGUGGCCCGGGAAUGCAGUGAAGGAUGGCCCAGGUCCUUGGGCCCUGCACCCAUAUGGGAGACCAGGAGGAAGCACCUGGCUCCUGGCUUUGGAUUGGCGCAGUGUGCUGGUCGCAACGCACCUGCCGUAGCGGCCACUUGGAGGGUGAACCAACGGCAAAAGGAAGACCUCUCUCUCUCUCUCUCUCUCUCUCUCUCUCUCUCUCACUGUCUAAUUCUGCCUGUCAAAAAAAUUUAUUUGCAAAGUUAGGACAGUUAUAAUUGUGUCAGAAUCUCAUGCUAAUUACAGUACUAAUAGACUUCGUGCAUGUGAAAACCAAUUAGAAAUAUAAUGUGGAAUGUUAACAAAUAUUUUUUCUCAUAUGUUUCAGUUGCUUUUAUAAAUAUGCUUCUGUUGUUGUCCAUAGCUGCUCUGUUAUUUUGUGAGGAAAUUUAAGUGAUGACUUGAGGACACCAAUCAGGCAGGGUGAAGUACCCAGAUUUUCUGAGACACUUCCUGCUGCUGGAGAUGUUGCAUAAAACAGAGAAGGGAUGAUGGAAUCUGGGCCAGAUAUUCCUGUUCAAAUUUCAGAUCCUUCUCUUAAAAGUUGUGCACCCAUGGACAAUGUUAAUAUUUGUGAGCUUAGUUUCUCUAUUCUGUAAAGUGGGAGUAGGAAUAUUCAUGUGUGUACUGAAAAUUUUGUGAAGCCUAAAGUUUGUAGGUUGGACACCCAGAGAAUACUAUGUGCAUUUGAUAUGUCAUUUAUCAGCGGAAUCUUUCUCUGGUAGAUUAAUAGCUGGCCAAGGAUAGUUGGGAUUACUAGUAUUCUGAAUACUGGCAUUCUGAAUACUGGCAAAUAACUUAUAUUUAUGGCCAUUUGUGUGUGUGCAUGUGCGUGUGUGUGCACAUGUGUACUUGUUAGGGCUCUUGUAAUUACUGCAUGCUUUUUCUUGUCUUUUUGGUAGUAGGCAUUCUAACUGGGAUGAGAUGAUCAUCAUUGCAGUUUCGAUUUGCUUUUCCAUAAUAGUGAGUGAUGUUGAGCAUUUUUUCAUGUAUUUGUUGGUCAUCUGUUUCUCUUCUUUUCAGGAUUGUCUUUUCAGAUCCUUUGAUAAUUUCUUAACUGGGUUGUUUCUUCUUUGUUGAGUUUUUAAAAAAUCUCACUUUCAACAUUGCAACAGUCAUUUUCUUCUUCCAGUGAACAAGACAAAGACGCCAAGUCAGAAAGAUAUUUUAAGUGUUGGGGAGAAGUUCUUGCCUCUAAGAUCAUACCGUUCAAAAGGGUCUGGAACCUCACUGAUAGUCAGUGAGACAAAGCAAUGAAAGGGAGAGAAAAUUGAGUUUAUGGGAGUUGGAGAGAGGAUAGGAAAAGGGAUGAGAAUAAUGUGUUUUUUGAGGGGAUCUUACUUAAACUUCAGACUGGACCAUUUACCUGGAGACCAUGUGCCAAGAAUUUUUAUUUCUCCCAACUUAUUCAAAGAUUCCAGUGAAAGCUUAACUUUUUAUGCAUGGUAUACACAGUUAAAAUAACACCUUAAAUUCCUCUGUGCAUGGAUUCGUUUUCUCUUCAAAUGGCCAGAGUUACUAAGAAAGACUUAGAAGGUUAUUUGAGGUUCACAAGAUUAUCAGCGCACUUAGACCAACCAGUGGUACUUGGAGAAAGAUCAACCUGAUACUGUCAUUCUCACUUGAUGUGAGUUGGGAAGAAGAUCUUGAUUGGUCCCCAAGAGCCAUCUGUUCCACUAUUAACUGCAAAUAGCAAAAGAAGCUUGUGGGAUCAGGAAAGGGGACUAAACUCUUGGUCAAAAUCUUUUUAUUUUUGUUUAAAGAGAAGGAGAGAGAGAGAGAGAGAGAGAGAGAGAGAGAGAGAGAGAGAGAGAGAGAGAAUGAAUAUGAAUCUUCUGUGUGCAGGUUCACUCCCCAAAUGGUUGCAACAACCAAUGCUGGGCCAGGCUGAAGCCAGGAGCCAGGAGCUUCUUUCAAGUCUCUCGUGUGGAUAGUGGGGCCCAAGGACUUGGGCCAUCUUCUGCUGCUUUCCCAGGCACACUAGCAGAGAGCUGGAUGGGAAGUGGAGCAUCAGGGACUUGAACUGGCACCCACAAGUGAUGCCAGCAUUUCAGGCAGUGGCUUAACUCACUGUGCCACAGCACCAGCCCCCUCAAAUUCUUGCUCUAAAUUCUCCUACCAAUUGUGUAACCUGAGAUAAUCCAUUAACUUUCAGUGUGCUUUCUCCUUUCUUUAAUGAGUCUAAUAAGGUGGAAAUAUAAACUAAGAAGGUAAUGGGUGUGGAAGAAUUUUGGAAAGAUUUCAAUAUGCCAUGCAAAUUCAAGAGUUAGUUCAUUCUACAUACUUUAGUACCCUUCAGAUUCUUCUAAAUUCAAUAGAUAGUAUAAUAAAUUAGAAUGAUGGUCUUGGAAAUCAUCUCUUUCAGGGGUCCACAGUUACAUACAAGAAAUGGAAGAAAAGAGGGAGUUGUCCACAAAGUCAUGUGGCAUGUUAGUGCCAGGUCUAAAGUUGGAACAGGGGGAUUUAUAUUGCUUUAUUGUUUCCCCCUGAUAACAAUUUCUCUAAAGAGGAGGCUCAUAAUAAAUAACAAUCGAGUUCAGGAGAAUGGGUAAGGAUGUCAAGAAAAUGUAAUUUUGAGGUCAUCUUUCCUUUCUUGAUAGAUGGAUUACAAACCCCAUCCCCGUGGGGAAACGUAACCUUGAAAGUACCCUCGCCCCAUCUUCUGAAGUCAGUUGUGGCUGUGACUUUGGGGGACUCUCAACUUACAGUGCUUUGAGUAGUUGUCGCUGGUAGACAGACCCAUACCUUACAUCCCAGUUUGGGAGAAUGAAAUGUGAUCACAUGAUAGGGUCAGCCUCUGAAGAAGGACUGGCUUUUCAGAGAGGACUUCUGCCCAGGGGCAUCUCCUGUCCAUAGCAUGAAUUUUUCCUCAAGAGGAAGGGCUCAGAAAAGCAAAGUUGGGACAAUUUCCUGCUGAUUGCCUUUCCUUUCAUCCUUGAUCUGCUUCUCCAUAAUGAACUUGUAGAUUAUCCCAGUCAUAGUUCAAGAAUCCCAGAUCCAGGCAUCCUAGGGGCCAUGAAAUAUAGUGAGCAAUAGCUGAGCAGUAGAGCUUUGUGGGGUAGCUGGUUGAUAUUUUAAAUUUUUUGAUGCCAUUAUAGAUGGUAUAGCUUUAAAUAUUUUUAUUUUCCACUUAUUUAAUGCUAUAUGUAGAUAGGAAAUUGAUUUUUGUUUAUUGGCUUUAUAUUUGUGACUUACCUAUAUUUAGUAAUUGAUUCUUGUAGAUUUUUUUCAGUUUCUUUCAUACACCAUCAUUCUUUUCAAAUUAUGAAUAUUUUAAUUAUUCCUUUUUAUUUUUUUGCUGUAUUUGUUUUCUUGAUAUUCAGCACUUACUAGAGUCUGUAUUAUAAAUGUUAAAUGGGGUCAUGAAUUCGAAUAUUAAUGAUGUCUUCUAUACCUUGUGGAGAAAAUGUUGACUACUUUGCAUUUAAGUGUUAUGUUAGUCAUAGGGAUUUUUUUAAAAAGAUUUAUUUGUUUACUUUGAAAUCAGGGUUACACACAGAGACAGGGAGUGGCAGAGAGAGGGAGAGAGAGUGAGAAUCUUUCAUCUACUGGUUUAUUCCCUAGUUGGCUGCAAGGGCCAGCACUAGACCAGGCUGAAAGCAGGUGCCACGAGCUUCAUCUGAGUCUCCCAUAUGGGUGGCAGGUGCCCAAACACCUGGGCCAUACUCUGCUAUUUUUCCAGGCCAUUAGCAGGGAGCUGGUUCAGAAGUGGAGCAGCCGGGACUUGAAACAGCACCAAUAUUGGAUGUUGGUGUUGCAGACAACUGCCUUAUUCUCUACACCACAGCAUCUGCCCCUAGUUGUAGGAAUUUUGAAGCAGCCUGAUGCCACAUUGAAGAUAUUUUUUUCUAUUCCAAGAUUCCCAUUUUGUUCUGACAUAAGCCAGUAUUGAAUUUCAUCAAAUAUUCAUUUGCUGAUCUAUUGAAAUGAUUGUUUUCCUCCCACCUCCAGUAUUCUGUGAACUGAUGAGCUACCUCUGUAGAUUUACAGUUGUUUACUAAUGUUGCACUUAUGGAUUAAGCAUAUUUUAUCAUCACUAGCUUUAUUGUGUUUCACAGGAUUCUUUUGAUAAUAAUUUAUCUAAAAUUUUCAGAGUAAGGAGUAUUGAUUUGUGUGUGUGUGUGUGUGUGUGCACACUUGCUUGUGUUUGUCUUGUGAGGACCUUAUUGGGUUUUUGAUUUUGGAACCACUAAUAUCAUAAAUGAGCUGUAUGUAUUUCUACCUCAUUUAUAUUCUAAAAUAAUUUGCUGAAAGUCAGUGUUAAUCUUCCUUAGAUAUUUUAUAGCAUUUGUUAGUGGAGAUUGCCGGGUCUGAAAAUUCUUGUAACUAAGAAGCUAAUUUCCUUAAGUUUCUCAAUUAUCUAUUUCUUCUUGCUGUGUUUUGAAAAUUACUUUUAAAGAAGUAUAUUCAUUUUUACUACUUAGCAGAAUUUUUUUGAAAAGUUAUUUGUAAGUUUCUUUUAACAUCUUUAGAAAGUCUGUAGUGUCUUUUUCAGUUAUUCCCUUUUAACUUUAAUAUUAGUAAGUUUAUGCUUUCUUUGUAUUAAUCUUGAUCAUUUUGCUAGAAAUUUAUUAUUUUUGGCUUUGUUGAUUUUUCCAAUAUGUAUCUGUUUUCCAUCUAUUAUUUCUCUCUUAUACUUUCUUUGUUGUAUUUGCUUUUCUUUUUCUAGUUUUUCUUGUUUUAUUUGCAUAGAAUAUUUUUAUUGAUUUUAAUUUUUGAAUAUUUUCACUGAAUUUUUUCCCUUAAAGCAUUUUAAAUUUAGUAUUAUAAUUUUCUUCUGGCUUUAAAAUAUUCCUUUUCUGAUUGGGUAGGAGGAUUGAUGACGAGAAAGUCUGAGAAUUCUCUGCAUGUUCCUGUCAGAAUGGCCCAUGAUUUGGGACAUUUGAAUCUCAUGAGAUGUACUUCUUAUAUUAUCUUUUAGGAAAGGAUCUUGGUAAUACUAUGGGUCAGUGACCAAAGUGCGAUUGUUGACCAGUUUUUCCCCUGGGAUCCGUUGUUCUCAAGUGAACUCAAGCUGUGGUGGCUGUGAGGUGAGUGUGCAUGCGUGGGCUGAGCAACAAACACGACUUCUUCGCAGGAAUGAUUUGGCUGCUACUGCUGCUGAAUGCCUUUCAUGACACCAGUGUGCAUUGUGUGUUGAUAUGCAGUUGUCCAGCCAUCUUAAGGCAGAUCAGUAACAUGAAACUCAAGACGGAAGGAAGGACAAAUCAUUUUCAGCAGAGUGGACACUUUGGCUAGAAAUGGUUGUUAUUUUCAGCAUGAACUGAUCUUCUCUAUGCAGUUGCUGAAUGCCAGUCACCACCAAGGCUUCCAGUGCUACCUUGCUUCUGAUCAAAGAUCUAGGAAACGGUAGAAACAGACCUGGGAUACAGGAAGUGCUGGUUAUUUUCCUCUGUUUGCCUGUCCAGGUAGCUCCACUUCCCACUCUUCUCUGCUUCACUCUGUUCUUCAGAAGAAUGACUCCAUUGGCUGCUUUUAGAGGUAUCUUGAUGGUAGAUGGUGAUCAGUGUAUAUAACAUAUAAACUAUGUAUCAGUAACUAAUACUAAGAGAAGCUUUUGCGUGGGUUUAUCUAUUUAUAAUCUACCUUAUAAUAUAAUUACUGUAGUAUGUCUCCAUUUUGCAGAUGAGGCUUCAGAAUGGAUGUAUGUAAUAGAAUUUGAGUAGUGGGAUUUAUUCCAGGGUAGCAGGCUCAGGAGCUCAUACUCCACUCAUGAAACUGUACAAUUGAACCAGGUAGCAGGUGAAAUGCUUGUGAGCCCAGACUCGAGCCAGAUUUCCUGGGUUUGAAUCCUGGACCUAAUGUUAUUCAUUUGCUGGCUGUUUUGGACAAGAGCCUCUCAGUUUCUCAAUUUUUUCAUCUAUAAAGUGGGAAAAUACUUAUUCCUGACUCCUAGAUUGAUUGUGACAAUUAAAUUAGUAAUUGUGAGUAAUAGUUGUGGUGUGGCUCAAAGUGUAUAAAUGUCUGGAAUAUGGUUGGCUGAAGGUAGGCGCACUCUGGUUAGAUAGACCUGGCUUUGGAUACAAGCUUUCCUGUAUUUGAUGUAUUGAAACGUGGAGCUCCAUGUGGCAAACAUUGAGGAAAACCUAUUUCUUGUUGCAGUCUCUUCAAGCUCACUUAUUAUAGGGCUCCAUUUUCUUUCUUCCUGGGUGGGUGAAAAAGUGGGCAGCUCUCAUAUCUUUUCUGUUCACUCUCUAAUAUGGAAAGUCUUCUAAUCAAUUUAAACCACAAAAUUAUCUUGUUUUAGUAAUUGAUUGUUUAAUCUAGCAUAGUGUCCAAAUGUUGAAUUUCAUUUUUAAUGAAGUUCUUCCCUUUACUUGACUCAAUAAGACUUGGCAGUGAAACCUCCAAUUGGUAAACUAUCGUUGUCACCUUUUCUUCAUGUUAUAUAACUCUUCCUUCUGUAAUACCUCCCCCUGGUCUGCUUUGGUUCUUGUAGGGUGUGGAGUAGGGAAGAGUUAAGGGAUGAGAAAGGUGUUACUUGAUGACUCCUGUCAUGAUCAGAUAUUGUUGCCCUCUGGACUUGGUGCUGGUUUGCAGCUUAAUCUUUCUCUUGGAGGUAUCCUUGAUUGGUUUCUUAGAGAUAUCCCUUUACUGAGGAUCAAUUGCUAUUCCCUUAACAUAGUUGGUGCCACUUUAAAUUUGCCUCUUACUAUUCUAGAUGACAAGGUCUGCGUAUUCUUGGGGUUAUUUUGCCCACUGGUUUCUAAGAGGACUUCUUGGACAGACUUUUUCAUUUCAGGGACUAUUUUGAGAUCUUUCUUUGGUGUCUAUGCCCAAUGCAAAAUCCACACUCCAAACUCAGGCCAAUUCUAGCACAGCCAUCUCCUCUCUUUGCUUUGAAGAGAGCUAGUGUCUCACUACCUUUCCCUUUUGGGUGUCUCCAAGCUUGAAUCAAGCCCUGAACUCUGUGCUGCUCAGCCUCAGUUCAAGCUCCCUGAACGCUCUUCUUAAUGCCUCCCACACUUACACAUGGCAGGAGGUAAGUAGGAGGGACCCCUUCCUUUCCUCAUGGAGGACGUGUAACAGUGGUGACAAUGCCUACCGUUUUGUCAAAGAAAUUAUUUUCUUCUAGGUAUUUUUUGUAGAAAUGCAAACAAUUUAUUUCUACUCAAUAAAGUAAAAAAAAAAACCACAAAAUCAGAAAAUGUGAACUAGAAUAUCAUUUUAAUAAUGUAAAAUACAAAAUGCCAAAAUAUAAAUAUGACAAAUGAUAUGAAAGACCUUUGCUCUGCAAAUUAUGAAUACUGCUGUGAGAACUUAAAGAAGGGUAAUAAAAUAGAAAUAUACACUGUGUUCUCAGUGGGAAGACAAUAGUAUUAAGAUCUUGAUUCUCGGCCGGCACCACGGCUCACUUGGCUAAUCCUCCGCCUGCAGUGCCGGCACCCUGGGUUCUAGUCCCAGUUGGGGCACCGGAUUCUGUCCCGGUUGCUCCUCUUCCAGUCCAGCUCUCUGCUGUGGCCUGGGAGGGCAGUGGAGGAUGGCCCAAGUGCUUGGGUCCUGCAUCCACAAGGGAGACCAGGAGGAAGCACUUGGCUCCUGGCUUUGGAUCGCUGGCCAUAGCGGCCAUUUGGGGGGUGAACCAAUGGAAAAGGAAGACCUUUCUCUCUGUCUCUCUCUCACUGUCUAACUCUGCCUAUCCAAAAAAAAAAAAAAAAAAAAAAUCUUGAUUCUCUCAACUCUUGAGGCUUCCUGUUCUGUCUGAAAGGCUUGUGAGAGCAUUUCAGGCAUGAAAAGCCAAGAGUAUGGCUUAAAAAAAUCCUACAUGGAGGAUCUCUGUGAGACCUCAGUGGAAAGAAAGGGUCAUCAAAAAAGGAUGUACUCUUCUCUGAAGGGAGGAGAGAACGUCCACUUUGCUUUUGGCCAUGUCCAAAUAUUGAUGGGGUCUAUGGUCACAAAAGGCUUCCAUAGCCUUGGCAGUCCAUGGCAAGAGCCUCUGGUGAUCACUGACGUCAUAAAUAAGGGUGUUAACUGUUAAAGGAACAACAGAAGUCACUGUGCACUUACUCCCCAUAUAGGAACUUCGUCUCUAAUGAGUUGUACUAUGAGAAUUGACUGCAAAUUUUGUUCCCAAACUGUACUCUAUUUGUUCUGUGUAUGCGUGGGUGCGAAUUGUUGAAGUCUAUGCUUAGCAGGGAGUUAGUCCUCUGUAUAUAAAGUCAAACUAAAAAUGAACCAUAAUGAAGAAGGAGAU